ACGAACGCUGGCGGCGUGCUUAACACAUGCAAGUCGAACGGGCCUGUCUUCUUUUUUGGGGGUGGGUUGAGUGGCGAACGGGUGAGUAUCACGUGAGUAACCUGCCCUUCGGUCCUGGAUAACCGCUUGAAAGGGCGGCUAAUACGGGGUGGUCCGGUUGGUCCGCAUGGGCUGGUCGGGAUAGAUUCACUGUUUUUUGUGUUUCGGCGGGGGAUGGGCUCGCGGCCUAUCAGCUUGUUGGUGGGGUGAUGGCCUACCAAGGCGGUGACGGGUAGCCGGCCUGAGAGGGUGGGCGGCCACACUGGGACUGAGAUACGGCCCAGACUCCUGCGGGAGGCAGCAGUGGGGGGUAUUGCACAAUGGGCGGAAGCCUGAUGCAGCGACGUCGCGUGAGGGAUGGAGGCCUUCGGGUUGUGAACCUCUGUUUCCGGUGGUGAAGGCCCUGUCCGUGUGGUGGGGUUGACGGUAGCCGGGGAUGAAGCGCCGGCUAACUACGUG
rnacentral:rRNA from 1 species